rnacentral:rRNA from 1 species
AGUGAACGCUGGCGGUAGGCCUAACACAUGCAAGUCGAACGGCAGCACAGUGAGAGCUUGCUCUUACGGGUGGCGAGUGGCGGGCGGGUGAGGAAUAUAUCGGAAUCUACUUUUUCGUGGGGGAUAACGUAGGGAAACUUACGCUAAUACCGCAUACGACCUACGGGUGAAAGCAGGGGAUCUUCGGACCUUGCGCGAUUGAAUGAGCGGAUGUCGGAUUAGCUAGUUGGCGGGGUAAAGGCCCACCAAGGCGACGAUCCGUAGCUGGUCUGAGAGGAUGAUAAGCCACACUGGAACUGAGACACGGUCCAGACUCCUACGGGAGGCAGCAGUGGGGAAUAUUGGACAAUGGGCGCAAGCCUGAUCCAGCCAUACCGCGUGGGUGAAGAAGGCCUUCGGGUUGUAAAGCCCUUUUGUUGGGAAAGAAAAGCAGCAGGUUAAUACCCCGCUGUUCUGACGGUACCCAAAGAAUAAGCACCGGCUAACUUCGUG